rnacentral:rRNA from 1 species
CCUACGGGAGGCAGCAGUGGGGAAUCUUGGACAAUGGGGGGAACCCUGAUCCAGCGACGCCGCGUGAGUGAAGAAGUAUUUCGGUAUGUAAAGCUCUAUCAGCAGGGAAGAAAGAAAUGACGGUACCUGACUCAGAAGCUCCGGCUAACUACGAGCCAGCAGCCGCGGUAAUACGUAGGGGGCAAGCGUUAUCCGGAUUUACUGGGUGUAAAGGGCGCGUAGACGGCGAUGCAAGUCUGAAGUGAAAGGCGGGGGCCCAACCCCCGGACUGCUUUGGAAACUGUAUGGCUUGAGUGCAGGAGAGGUAAGUGGAAUUCCUAGUGUAGCGGUGAAAUGCGUAGAUAUUAGGAGGAACACCAGUGGCGAAGGCGGCUUACUGGACUGUAACUGACGUUGAGGCUCGAAAGCGUGGGGAGCAAACAGGAUUAGAUACCCGGGUAGUC